rnacentral:rRNA from 1 species
CCCCUAGAUGUUCUGGGCCGCACGCGCGCUACACUGAACAGUUCAACAAGUCUUAACCUUGGCCGAUAGGUCUGGGUAAUCUUUGAACGCUGUUCGUGAUUGGGAUAGACCUUUGCAAUUAUGGGUCUUCAACGAGGAAUUCCUAGUAAACGCAAGUCAUCAGCUUGCAUUGAUUACGUCCCUGCCCUUUGUACACACCGCCCGUCGCACCUACCGAUUGAAUGGUCCGGUGAAGCCUCGGGAUUGUGGCUGGCUUGCUUCAUUGGAGGUCGGUUGCGAGAACUUGUCUAAACCUUAUCAUUUAGAGGAAGGUGAAGUCGUAACA